rnacentral:rRNA from 1 species
UGGGGAAUAUUGCGCAAUGGGGGAAACCCUGACGCAGCAACGCCGCGUGAAGGAUGAAGGUUUUCGGAUCGUAAACUUCUUUGAUUGGGGACGAAUAAUGACGGUACCCAAAAAACAAGCCACGGCUAACUACGUGCCAGCAGCCGCGGUAAUACGUAGGUGGCGAGCGUUGUCCGGAAUUACUGGGUGUAAAGGGCGUGUAGGCGGGAAAGCAAGUCAGAUGUGAAAUACCGUGGCUUAACCACGGGGCUGCAUCUGAAACUGUUUUUCUUGAGUGUCGGAGAGGAAAGUGGAAUUCCCAGUGUAGCGGUGAAAUGCGUAGAUAUUGGGAGGAACACCAGUGGCGAAGGCGACUUUCUGGACGAUAACUGACGCUGAGGCGCGAAAGCGUGGGGAGCAAACAGGAUUAGAUACCCUGGUAGUCCACGCUGUAAACGAUGGAUACUAGGUGUAGGAGGUAUCGACCCUUCUGUGCCGGAGUUAACACAAUAAGUAUCCCACCGUGGGGAGUACGGCC